UACAGAGGUCUCAAGCGUUGUUCGGAUUCAUUGGGCGUAAAGGGUGCGUAGGUGGCGCUGUAAGUCGGGUGUGAAAUUUCGGAGCUUAACUCCGAAACUGCAUUCGAUACUGCGGUGCUUGAGGACUGGAGAGGAGAGUGGAAUUCGAUGGUGUAGCAGUGAAAUGCGUAGAGAUCAUGAGGAAGACCAGUGGCGAAGGCGGGUCUCUGGGCAGUAACUGACGCUGAGGAGCGAAAGCGUGGGGAGCGAACAGG
rnacentral:rRNA from 1 species